ACAGCAGUAGCCGCGGGAAUACGGAGGGUGCAAGCGUUAUCCGGAUUUAUUGGGUUUAAAGGGUCCGUAGGCGGAUCUGUAAGUCAGUGGUGAAAUCUCACAGCUUAACUGUGAAACUGCCAUUGAUACUGCAGGUCUUGAGUAAAUUUGAAGUGGCUGGAAUAAGUAGUGUAGCGGUGAAAUGCAUAGAUAUUACUUAGAACACCAAUUGCGAAGGCAGGUCACUAAGAUUUAACUGACGCUGAUGGACGAAAGCGUGGGGAGCGAACAGGAUUAGAUACCCGCGUAGUCCCUGUCUCUUAUAC
rnacentral:rRNA from 1 species